AGUGAACGCUGGCGGUAGGCCUAACACAUGCAAGUCGAACGGCAGCACAGUAAGAGCUUGCUCUUACGGGUGGCGAGUGGCGGACGGGUGAGGAAUACAUCGGAAUCUACUUUUUCGUGGGGGAUAACGUAGGGAAACUUACGCUAAUACCGCAUACGACCUACGGGUGAAAGCAGGGGAUCUUCGGACCUUGCGCGAUUGAAUGAGCCGAUGUCGGAUUAGCUAGUUGGCAGGGUAAAGGCCCACCAAGGCGACGAUCCGUAGCUGGUCUGAGAGGGUGAACAGCCACACUGGAUGUGAGACACGGUCCAGACUCCUACGGGAGGCAGCAGUGGGGAAUAUUGGACGAUGGGCGCAAGCCUGAUCCAGCCAUACCGCGUGGGUGAAGAAGGCCUUCGGGUUGUAAAGCCCUUUUGUUGGGAAAGAAAAGCAGCAGGUUAAUACCCCGCUGUUCUGACGGUACCCAAAGAAUAAGCACCGGCUAACUUCGUG
rnacentral:rRNA from 1 species